ACAAUACUCAGAGGAAAAUGCAGUGCUCUGCUCUCUGAGGGUGUGUGUAACUAUGUCUGUGCUGCAGCAUGGCCCCAAACAGCAGAGCAGAUUUGGUUGCAUGUUAUGGAAAAUGGUGAUUGUCUGCUGCAAAUAAGGAUCAAGAGAGACAGAGAGGGAUGAUCAAGCUCAUGAUGCAUAAAUGUACUUAUGGAGAAGCUGAACUUGACCCAACAUGGCCUGUAUCACAGGGCUGUUAAAGGAGGGAGGCAACAAGUAUGUCACACUGGGGAAAAAAACUCAUCACUGAAGGCUUGAAGCCAGUGGAUAACAUGGACAAAGAAAUUGUGAAUAGACUAAGAGCU
rnacentral:lncRNA from 1 species